rnacentral:lncRNA from 1 species
AUGUAUAGCGUCGCAAUGAACGUUGUGCUAGGCGUGCUUCAGCUGGCCCCUAGACAAAAAAGUGUACUGGUUCAGUGAUUAUAGACGUCAUACUUAACUCCGAAAUAUAACAAUGAACUAAAAUUAAAAUCAUACAAGACUUAAAAGGACAGAGGCUCCUGAAUUGGGACAGGCGCACAAAUGCGGCGGGGUUAAACAUGUUUCGUGAGAUCACAGCCCUCCCCUAUACCUCUAGCCAAUAAAGAAUGAAAAACACACAGUAAUACGAACAGUAAAACGCACUUGAAAAGGAAAUACAAGUCCUAUGUCAGAAUAGGAAACAAAAGAAACUAAUCAAAAUGACAAUGAUAAAUAAUUAACAAAGGACUACUA